GGGGCUGUAGCUCAGUUGGUAGAGCGCUUCGUUCGCAUCGAAGAGGUCGUGGUUUCGACUACCAUCAGCUCCACGA
rnacentral:tRNA from 3 species